rnacentral:rRNA from 1 species
GACGAACGCUGGCGGCGUGCCUAAUACAUGCAAGUAGAACGCACAGUUUAUACCGUAGCUUGCUACACCAUAGACUGUGAGUUGCGAACGGGUGAGUAACGCGUAGGUAACCUGCCUGGUAGCGGGGGAUAACUAUUGGAAACGAUAGCUAAUACCGCAUAAUAUUAAUUAUUGCAUGAUAAUUAAUUGAAAGGUGCAAUUGCACCACUACCAGAUGGACCUGCGUUGUAUUAGCUAGUAGGUGAGGUAACGGCUCACCUAGGCGACGAUACAUAGCCGAACUGAGAGGGUGAGCAGCCAGCCUGGGACUGUGACACGGCACAGACUCCUACGGGAGGCAGCAGUAGGGAAUCUUCGGGAAUGGGCGAAAGUCUGACCGAGCAACGCCGCGGGAGUGAAGAGGGUUUUCGGAUCGUAAAGCUCUGUUGUAAGGGAAGAACGGGUGUGAGAGUGGAAAGUUCACACUGUGACGGUAUCUGACCAGAAAGGGACGGCUAACUACGUG